AAAUAUAGCCGAAUGUUCCCGAAAGGGACGCUGGAAGGUUGACUUUGCAUAAACGGCCACCUUUGGUCAUUUUUUUAGAUUUUCGGUCAAUUGACCCACACAGCCCUAGAAUCUUCAUCCCCGCGGCGUUGAAAGGCUGUGUUUGCAAAUAUUUGGUUUUCUAUUUUGAAUAAAACAAAAAAGAGUCAUAAAUAAGUCGGGUGAUGCUGUUUUGUAUAAAAAUAGCUGAAUAUUCCCAAAAGAGACGCCGGAAGGCUGACUUUGUACAAACAGCUAUCUUAAGGCCAUUUAUAGAUUUUAACCGAUCAACCCACACAGCCUUAAAAUCUUCAUCCCUGAGGCGAUGAAAGGCCGUGUUUGCAAAACCAAGUCUCUUAUUUUAAUUUGAAAAAAAAUAAAAGAGUUAGGGGGCAAGUGAAUACCAUUUGGAUUUUGGUCAAAAUAAGCCGAGCCAGUUUCGGCAGUGUAUUAAACUGUUCUUCCCAAGAUAGCCUUAGAGUAUAUUUCAGUUGUGGAAAGGCUAUUUUCGUAAAAGAACGUACCAGUUUGUAGUGUCAUAAAAUAAUCCUCCACGACCUCGAAAUGAUUGUGAAAUUGGGAAGGGGCCAUAUAUUCAAAAUAGCCAUUUGGCUGAAAGUGGCCAAUAGGUAAAUGAAUCUGUUUGUUUGUUUUUGAGUUUGUAAUUCCUUUGAUAAAAUAUGCGGGUUGUUUGAUUUUCGAUUCUGUAUAUUGUCUUUUCGUCAGAUUUUGAUAGUUUGGUCAGUUUUUAAACUAGUGUAAUUAAAGUUGCUUUUAUUAUGAAAGCUGAAAAUUCCAAAAAAAAUGUUUUAUUGUGGAUUACCUUUUAUUGGUCCGAACUACGCAAGGUCUGAUUCAUGCGAGGUAAUGUUACGUAG
rnacentral:lncRNA from 1 species